GUCGUAGCUCAGUCGGUAGAGCGUGAGAUGCUUAAUAUCAGGGUUCUGGGUUUGAGCCCCAUGUGAGAUA